GAAGUUUUCAAGAAGUCAUCUUUUGCUCCGUCAGUGAAGUAUUACCCUGAGAAGAUGUGGGAAAACAGAACGCAGAGCAAGCCCUGGACAGAAGGACAUCAGUUGUUCAACUGGAGAAGUUGCGCGGACAAAGCUUGUAUGGAAAUGAUGAUGUGUGGACACCUACACUAGGACAGUGGGAAUCUGCUCCUAAUUGUCAGGGAAGAUGACUUACUGCCGAAUAACAGGAGGAAUGCUGUUGGUUUCCUUGUAAAUCCUCUAGUGUUGCCAAAUGAGAGCACGGGGGAAGUAGUUUGCUACGUGCGAUGACUCAGUGGAUUUCAGCCGUUCGGCGGUGCUGGGAAGCCACUCCAGCCACUCAGGCCAAUCCUACAGCCCCUGCUCGUAACACCCGAAAGAGUACAGCAACUGGAGAGUAAACGAACAGAGAGAGAGAAUUGAAGAGAGAUUUCUGUAGGUGUCCUAUUUUGACUGCCUUCUCUUCCAACGUCAGUGUAAAAUACUGAAGAAACCACAGCAGUCCUUUCCCAGUGUUUCUCUAUACAACCCGCAGACCGUUCCUCUUUGAGGGCGACGGAUUUGUUACCCAGCUAACAGUUCUGCGACCAGCUAUCGUGGUACCAUCAUCAGAAGCUCUUUCCCUGGAAGUCCACACUUCUGCUCAUACAAAAACCGAACCAGAAUUGGCCAGCGAUGCUAAUGAGAGCUUCUGGAUAAUAUGUAUGUUUUAAUGCCUUUAUUGUGUGAGGUCUCUCGCCUUCAACUUCAGGAAGCUCUACCAAAUUCAAGAAGGAACAUUAUUCUGAAAUUCAACUGCAACGCGGCACACCCAGGAAGCACACCACACAAUUCAGUUCAGUUUUACUGAUGUGCAAAAUAGAAAUGGACUACGGAGGGCAUAGUACAGGCCGAUAAAGUAUUUCAGAGAAAUGUCCAAGUGAGUGAUCUAAAUACAGAUCCAUUUUUCAUCACGUCUUACAAUUCAAAUAGGCAUUAAUGACAGAUCCCUGGCCUAGUUCAUUCGU